rnacentral:misc_RNA from 1 species
AAAAGAAUUUGGCCUCGCGGCCUUCACUGGAAAGCGGCCACGGGGUUCAUCCCCCGGGGUCGCCGACAGUUCUACCCACUGUGAAACCCCUUGUUGCUUCGGCAGCGCCUCCCCGUCCGCGGGGAGGGUCAGCCUGCCGGCGGCACAUCGGAAACCCUUUCAUGAACCUGCACAAGAAACGUCUGAGAGCGCAGUCGAAUGACACAUA